AACGAACGCUGGCGGCAUGCCUAACACAUGCAAGUCGAACGAGACCUUCGGGUCUAGUGGCGCACGGGUGCGUAACGCGUGGGAACCUGCCCUUAGGUUCGGAAUAACUCCCCGACAGGGGUGCUAAUACCGGAUAAUGUCUUCGGCCCAAAGAUUUAUCGCCUUUGGUUGGGCCCGCGUUGGAUUAGCUAGUUGGUAGGGUAAAAGCCUACCAAGGCGACGAUCCAUAGCUGGUUUGAGAGGAUGAUCAGCCACACUGGGACUGAGACACGGCCCAGACUCCUACGGGAGGCAGCAGUGGGGAAUAGUGGACAAUGGGCGAAAGCCUGAACCAGCAAUGACGCGUGAGUGAUGAAGGCAUUAGGGUUGUAAAGCGCUUUUACCCGGGAUGAUAAUGACAGUACCGGGAGAAUAAGCUACGGCUAACUCCGUG
rnacentral:rRNA from 1 species